rnacentral:rRNA from 2 species
UUUAUGGAGAGUUUGAUCCUGGCUCAGGACGAACGCUGGCGGCGUGCUUAACACAUGCAAGUCGAACGGUGAUGUCAGAGCUUGCUCUGGCGGAUCAGUGGCGAACGGGUGAGUAACACGUGAGUAACCUGCCCCCGACUCUGGGAUAACUGCUAGAAAUGGUAGCUAAUACCGGAUAUGACGACUGGCCGCAUGGUCUGGUCGUGGAAAGAAUUUCGGUUGGGGAUGGACUCGCGGCCUAUCAGGUUGUUGGUGAGGUAAUGGCUCACCAAGCCUACGACGGGUAGCCGGCCUGAGAGGGUGACCGGCCACACUGGGACUGAGACACGGCCCAGACUCCUACGGGAGGCAGCAGUGGGGAAUAUUGCACAAUGGGCGCAAGCCUGAUGCAGCAACGCCGCGUGAGGGAUGACGGCCUUCGGGUUGUAAACCUCUUUUAGUAGGGAAGAAGCGAAAGUGACGGUACCUGCAGAAAAAGCACCGGCUAACUACGUGCCAGCAGCCGCGGUAAUACGUAGGGUGCAAGCGUUGUCCGGAAUUAUUGGGCGUAAAGAGCUCGUAGGCGGUUUGUCGCGUCUGCUGUGAAAUCCCGAGGCUCAACCUCGGGUCUGCAGUGGGUACGGGCAGACUAGAGUGCGGUAGGGGAGAUUGGAAUUCCUGGUGUAGCGGUGGAA